GUGGGGAAUUUUGGACAAUGGGCGCAAGCCUGAUCCAGCAAUGCCGCGUGAGUGAUGAAGGCCCUAGGGUUGUAAAGCUCUUUUACCAGGGAUGAUAAUGACAGUACCUGGAGAAUAAGCUCCGGCUAACUCCGUGCCAGCAGCCGCGGUAAUACGGAGGGAGCUAGCGUUGUUCGGAAUUACUGGGCGUAAAGCUCGCGUAGGCGGUUUUUUAAGUCAGAGGUGAAAGCCCGGGGCUCAACCCCGGAAUUGCCUUUGAAACUGGAAAACUUGAAUCUUGGAGAGGUCAGUGGAAUUCCGAGUGUAGAGGGGAAAUUCGUAGAUAUUCGGAAGAACACCAGUGGAGCAGGCGACUGACUGGACAAGUAUUGACGCUGAGGUGCGAAAGCGUGGGGAGCAAACAGGAUUAGAUACCCGUGUAGUCC
rnacentral:rRNA from 1 species